AGAACUGAAGCUUGUGUUUAAAAAACAAAAAGGGGAUAAAAGAAAUAGUAAGAGUUUCCCCGCGUUUCAUUUCUAUAAUCAUCGCUUCAAACGAGCCGCCAUGCCAUCGCUAAUUGAAACGCACGGAUCUGUUUUUCUCGAAGAUGCGACACGACGCAACGCGAUGCAACGCGACGGAAGCGGUGGUCCCUACCUAUUAAUAUCGAGAGUAUAUUUCAAUUAAUUCGAAUAAAUCGGUAAGCGACACGGCGCGAGUGUGCGUGCGCGUGCGUGGAAAGGCGGCAGAAAGAAAAAAAGAUGACCGCCGUGGCGCUUGCGCGAGGGGCGUCGCGACGACCGCCGACGCCUUCUUGAAUGAAACCGUCGCAGUCAGUUCGCAUCAAGGCGUCCACCUUCGCUUCCACUUUCACGGAUUUUCUAAUUGUCCAGUCGACCAACGGCAAGUGACAUUCCACGGUGAUAAGUCGUUCGAUCAUGUUUCAUCUUGGCCAGCGAAACAGGUCGGCGGUUAUGCGAACAUUGUCGAUUUGGGCAGUGGCUUGUCGUUCUCGUGGAUAUCUCGGGGACAGAUUCUACUUGUUGUCCAUGCAGAGAAGGACGGGCAAGAUCCUCGUCUGACAGAGACCGAUGCUUGGUGCAAAGCUUUUGCUUCUUUCUUGUGUUGCUUGUCACUCACUCUCGCUUUACCCAUUUGUAUUCCUCUUCGUUGUAAAUUAUCCGCUACCACUGUAUUUCCGCGUAGAGGACAGUCGUUAAAAUGGCUAGGAUCGAGUUACCGAGGAAAGAAAAGAAAAAGAAAAUUGAACGGAUGUCGUUAAAGACAUGAGUGGUCUAUUUGAAAUUUCGAAAAAGCAACGAGAAAUUCUUGAAGAUUGUGCAAACGCGAUCGUUAAACGGCCACGUGUUUGGCAUGAGGACCUUCUGGCAUGGAAUCGCGUGCCAUGUGCAAUUUACAGCUACUAAAAUUAGACGUUUCAUCCCUCUGCUCGUAUGGGGUGGUCAAAGUGAUUUUCGAUACGCCAUUGGUCACGGUUAUGGCUAAACUACUCGUUUCAGGGUUCACAGGGUGUAAAUAAAUGUCGAAAUAGUAGCGGAAGAUUUUUCUUCGUUGUAUGUAAUAUAAUGAUAUUUCUUUGAUAAUUUAUGUUAAUUACUAUAUUUUCAAGCAGUUUCUUGGCUAAUGAGAGUCUUGACUUAUGGAGUUUUGCCAUUAGAUAAAGAAACAAUUUGUCCAAAAAUGGACAGAUUAAAUAGUUGACAUUGCAAUUUUUUUUUAUAAUGACGCUUUAUAUGUACUUUGGAUAAUUUAUGUUAAUUAGAUUAGAUAUCACAAAGCAUUAUCAAAUUUCAGAUUGUCUAUAUGAUUUGAAUUUUAGUUUGGGCCUUAGAGAGAUCCGAAACAUAUUGCUUUGUAAUAACAUUAUUUGCAUCAAUCGAUAAUCAGCAAUAUACAUUAUGUAUUAUAAAAUUCUUAAUUAAAGUUAAGGUUAUUUCUUCUAUUCAUAAACAAAGGAGCAACUUGUUCAGAAACGAAUCGUCAAUGAAUUAAACAUUUUCUUUUAAUUAUCUUUUGAGCGACUUCCUAAGUAAUUUGAUAUUUCUUUAAAUAGAUCAAAUAUCUAAACUCGAAAAGUUGAUUGCUUCUACUCGAGUAGUUACGAUCCUAAUUCGACCAGUGAAGAGAAGCUUCGAAGUUAUUUGUUCGCUCAUUCCACUUACAACUGUAAUUUCUUUCUUUUAUUCUCACAGCCGAGAGACCGAUUAUAUUCAACCCCUUUUCGCUAUUGUCUACGCGCGUCUAACGUCUCACAGUCUGAGUCCAUAAAGAAGAUCGUAAAGAUGUCGAAUACGGUAUGCGGACAUUUAUGAGCCUCAUGAGAAGAAAAUUUCAUUGCAAGAGCAGCGUUUUGGAAGUUGAAGGACCGAAAGAAACGAAACUAGCCCAGUUUUCAUCGUUCAGCGUUUAACUCUGACCUGCGCAAUGAAUCUCGUUGAUUCCUAUUAAUUUAUUAUUUUGCUGUUUUACAAGAUUAUGAAUAGGAAUGGAAUCAUAUAUAUAGCGUAAGUAAGUUUUCGUUUGAUUUUAAUAUCCAGGACAUCUCGUGAGGUAUUCGAAAAAAGAAUAUCUUUAAGUAGAGUUAAACUUAAACAAGAUUUGGUUGGUUAGACUACUUUAUAAGUAUUUUGAGAAAUAUAAAUGGUACUUUUUUCAAGGAUAAUUAGAAAUUGACCAAGUAGAUUUGGUCUGUACUUUAAUCGGAAAAGCGAUCUACUAUAUAAUACCUGACUUUCCGUUUGUUGCAUCAGGUUCAGAAGAAAUUAUUGGAGUAUUGGAAUUUACAUAAAAAUAAAAAUUAACGUUAAAUUACAUUAAAUUUCACGAAAUGAGAUUUUUCUAUAGAAAUUGACUUAGAUUUACAAAUGCGUACUGAAUUUGAUAUCCUUACCAACAACAUAUCGUGCAUUGUGUGUCCAUCAUUAAGACAGAAAACAAAGGACAAGAGUUCAUGGUUUGCGUGAUAAUUGAAGCUCGUUUCCUUCAUUUUUUUUUUUUCUUUUUUCAACGUGCCCAUAUAUAAACCUUGACAAAUAAGAGCAGCUGCAGAUAUUUGUCUUUCCCCAGUACUACGCGAAACUAUAAUUCGUGACAAACAUCACGGUCCACUUACUAUAAUCUGAAAACCCAACAAUUCCUCCUCUACCUCGAGUAGAAAAUAUAAUAAAUGUAUACAGUAAAAGAAAAUAAGUAUAAAAUGUAUAGAAUGGAUACAGGAGUAUACA